rnacentral:rRNA from 1 species
AAAUUGAAGAGUUUGAUCAUGGCUCAGAUUGAACGCUGGCGGCAGGCCUAACACAUGCAAGUCGAACGGUAACAGGAAGAAGCUUGCUUCUUUGCUGACGAGUGGCGGACGGGUGAGUAAUGUCUGGGAAACUGCCUGAUGGAGGGGGAUAACUACUGGAAACGGUAGCUAAUACCGCAUAAUGUCGCAAGACCAAAGAGGGGGACCUUCGGGCCUCUUGCCAUCGGAUGUGCCCAGAUGGGAUUAGCUAGUAGGUGGGGUAACGGCUCACCUAGGCGACGAUCCCUAGCUGGUCUGAGAGGAUGACCAGCCACACUGGAACUGAGACACGGUCCAGACUCCUACGGGAGGCAGCAGUGGGGAAUAUUGCACAAU